rnacentral:misc_RNA from 1 species
AACGCACAUUGCGCCCAUUAGUAUUCUAGCGGGCAUGCCUGUUCGAGCGUCAUUUCAACCCUCAAGCACUGCUUGGUGUUGGGGCCCUAUAGUAAGCUAUAGGCCCUGUAACUCAGUGGCGGAUCUGCUAUAAUCCUGAGCGUAGUAACAACAUCGCUUUUGGGUAUUAUGGGCAGCUUACAGCCGUUAAACACCCCACUUUAUAAGGUUGACCUCGGAUCAGGUAGGAAUACCCGCUGAACUUAA